GAAAACGGAGGGGAAGACUGUCCCCGCCAUAGGCGGGGGAAUGGGAACCAGGUGUCAAUCCUGGACUGUGCCGCAGCGGUAAUUGUUAGGGUAUAGACCCCAACAUAAGUCCGAAGACCGACUAGCUAAGUUUAAUACCCC
rnacentral:ncRNA from 30 species